rnacentral:misc_RNA from 1 species
UGUAGGAGCCGGCUUGCUGGCGAUAGCGUCCGGCCAGUCGACAUAUUUUCGACUGGCCGGACGCUAUCGCCAGCAAGCCGGCUCCUACG